rnacentral:rRNA from 1 species
AUUGAACGCUGGCGGCAUGCCUAACACAUGCAAGUCGAGCGGAGCGGCGGACGGGUGAGUCCUGCCUAGGAAUCUGCCUGGUAGUGGCGGAUCCCUUCCGGCAACGGGCCCUAAUACCGCAUACUAUCAGAUGACCCUCGGUCGGAUCAGCUCGUUGGUGGGGCAAAGGCCUACCAAGGCGACGAUCCGUAACUGGUCUGAGAGGAUGAUCAGUCACACUGGAACUGAGACACGGUCCAGACUCCUACGGGAGGCAGCAGUGGGGAAUAUUGGACAAUGGGCGAAAGCCUGAUCGAGCCAUGCCGCGUGAGUGAAGAAGGUUUUCGGAUUGUAAAGCACUGUAAGUUGGGAGGCGGUACCAAAAGAGUAAGCAACGGCUAACUUCGUGCCAGCAGCCGCGGUAAUUC